rnacentral:rRNA from 1 species
GACGAACGCUGGCGGCGUGCUUAACACAUGCAAGUCGAACGGAAAGGCCCUGCUUUUGUGGGGUGCUCGAGUGGCGAACGGGUGAGUAACACGUGAGUAACCUGCCCUUGACUUUGGGAUAACUUCAGGAAACUGGGGCUAAUACCGGAUAGGAGCUCCUGCUGCAUGGUGGGGGUUGGAAAGUUUCGGCGGUUGGGGAUGGACUCGCGGCUUAUCAGCUUGUUGGUGGGGUAGUGGCUUACCAAGGCUUUGACGGGUAGCCGGCCUGAGAGGGUGACCGGCCACAUUGGGACUGAGAUACGGCACAGACUCCUACGGGAGGCAGCAGUGGGGAAUAUUGCACAAUGGGCGGAAGCCUGAUGCAGCAACGCCGCGUGCUGGAUGACGGCCUUCGGGUUGUAAACCGCUUUCGCCUGUGACGAAGCGUGAGUGACGGUAAUGGGUAAAGAAGCACCGGCUAACUACGUG